rnacentral:rRNA from 1 species
CUGGCUCAGGAUUAACGCUGGCGGCGUGCCUAACACAUGCAAGUCGAACGAAAUAUCUUCGGAUAUUUAGUGGCGAACGGGUGAGUAAUGUACAGGUAAUGUACCUUCGUACUGCGAAUAACAAGCUGAAAAGUUUGCUAAUACGGAAUAGUUUCCUUCGAGGGCAUCCUUAAAGGAAUAAAGAUUUAUCGUGCGGAGAUCAGCCUGUAUCCUAUUAGUUAGUUGGUGGGGUAAUGGCCUACCAAGACGACGAUGGGUAACUGGUCUGAGAGGAUGAGCAGUCACAUUGGAACUGAGAAACGGUCCAAACUCCUACGGGAGGCAGCAGUGAGGAAUUUUGCGCAAUGGGGGAAACCCUGACGCAGCAACGCCGCGUGAGUGACGACGGCCUUCGGGUUGUAAAGCUCUGUCGUGUGUGACGAGUAGGGACGGUAACACACAAGGAAGCCUCGGCUAACUACGUGCCAGCCGCCGC